GCGGGUGUUGCUCAAUGGUAGAGCUCUAGCUUCCCAAGCUGGCCACGAGGGUUCGAUUCCCUUCACCCGCU
rnacentral:tRNA from 1 species